rnacentral:rRNA from 1 species
AUCCUGGGGCUGUAGUCGGUCCCAAGGGUUGGGCUGUUCGCCCAUUAAAGCGGUACGCGAGCUGGGUUCAGAACGUCGUGAGACAGUUCGGUCCCUAUCUGCCGUGGGCGUUGGAGAGUUGAGAGGAGUCGUCCCUAGUACGAGAGGACCGGGAUGAACGGACCUCUGGUGUACCAGUUGUCCUGCCAAGGGCACCGCUGGUUAGCUACGUCCGGAUGGGAUAACCGCUGAAAGCAUCUAAGCGGGAAGCCCACCUCGAGAUGAGCUCUCCCAUCCCCUUGAGGGAGUAAGAGCCCUGGAAGACCACCAGGUGAUAGGCCGGCGGUAUACGCGCAGUAAUGCGCUCAGCUGACCGGUACUAAUGCUUCGAGGGCUUGACGGU